rnacentral:rRNA from 1 species
AGAUUGAACGCUGGCGGCAGGCCUAACACAUGCAAGUCGAGCGGUAGAGAGGUGCUUGCAUCUCUUGAGAGCGGCGGACGGGUGAGUAAUGCCUAGGAAUCUGCCUAGUGGUGGGGGAUAACGUUCGGAAACGGACGCUACUACCGCAUACGUCCUACGGGAGAAAGCGGGGGACCUUCGGGCCUCGCGCCAUUAGAUGAGCCUAGGUCGAUUAGCUAGUUGGUGAGGUAAUGGCUCACCAAGGCGACGAUCCGUAACUGGUCUGAGAGGAUGAUCAGUCACACUGGAACUGAGACACGGUCCAGACUCCUACGGGAGCAGCAGUGGGAAUAUUGGACAAUGGGCGAAAGCCUGAUCCAGCCACGCCGCGUGUGUGAAGAAGUCUUCGGAUUGUAAAGCUACUUUAAGUUGGAGGUAAGGUUGUAACUUAAUACGUUGACUAAGUUUGAACGUUACCGACAAGAAUAAGCAACCGCUAACUCG